UGGGGAAUAUUGGACAAUGGGCGAAAGCCUGAUCCAGCCAUGCCGCGUGUGUGAAGAAGGUCUUCGGAUUGUAAAGCUCUUUAAGUCGGGAGGAAGGGCAGUAAGCGAAUACAUUGCUGUUUUGACGUUACCGACAGAAUAAGCACCGGCUAACUCUGUGCCAGCAGCCGCGGUAAUACAGAGGGUGCAAGCGUUAAUCGGAAUUACUGGGCGUAAAGCGCGCGUAGGUGGUUCGUUAAGUUGAAUGUGAAAGCCCCGGGCUCAACCUGGGAACUGCAUCCAAAACUGGCGAGCUGGAGUAGGGAAGAGGGUGGUGGAAUUUCCUGUGUAGCGGUGAGAUGCGUAGCUAUAGGAAGGAACACCAGUGGCGAGGGCGACCACCUGAGCUCAUACUGACACUGAGGUGCGAAAGCGUGGGGAGCAAACAAG
rnacentral:rRNA from 1 species